GACGAACCGUGCAACGUUGUUCGGAAUCACUGGGCUUAAAGGGCGCGUAGGCGGCUUGCCAAGUCGGGGGUGAAAUCCAGCAGCUUAAACUGUUGAAGUGCCUUCGAUAACUGGCGAGCUCGAGGAAGGUAGGGUAUGUGGAACUUCUGGUGGAGCGGUGAAAUGCGUUGAUAUCAAGAAGGAACGCCGGUGGCGAAAGCGACGUACUGGACCUUUCUGACGCUGAGGCGCGAAAGCCAGGGUAGCGAACGGG
rnacentral:rRNA from 1 species